rnacentral:rRNA from 1 species
GACAGAGGGGGCAAGCGUUGCUCGGAAUCACUGGGCGUAAAGGGCGCGUAGGCGGCCUUCUAAGUCGAACGUGAAAUCCCCGGGCUCAACCCGGGAACUGCGUCCGAUACUGGAAGGCUUGAAUCCGGGAGAGGGAUGUGGAAUUCCAGGUGUAGCGGUGAAAUGCGUAGAUAUCUGGAGGAACACCGGUGGCGAAGGCGACAUCCUGGACCGGUAUUGACGCUGAGGCGCGAAAGCCAGGGGAGCAAACGGG